GUUGUCCGGAUUAUUGGGCGUAAAGCGCGCGCAGGCGGAUUAGUCAGUCUGUCUUAAAAGUUCGGGGCUUAACCCCGUGAUGGGAUGGAAACUGCUGAUCUAGAGUAUCGGAGAGGAAAGUGGAAUUCCUAGUGUAGCGGUGAAAUGCGUAGAUAUUAGGAAGAACACCAGUGGCGAAGGCGACUUUCUGGACGAAAACUGACGCUGAGGCGCGAAAGCCAGGGGAGCGAACGGGAUUAGAUACCCCGGUAGUCCUGGCCGUAAACGAUGGGUACUAGGUGUAGGAGGUAUCGACCCCUUCUGUGCCGGAGUUAACGCAAUAAGUACCCCGCCUGGGGAGUACGACCGCAAGGUUGAAACUCAAAGGAAUUGACGGGGGCCCGCACAAGCGGUGGAGUAUGUGGUUUAAUUCGACGCAACGCGAAGAACCUUACCAGGUCUUGACAUUGAUGGACAGAACUAGAGAUAGUUCCUCUUCUUCGGAAGCCAGAAAACAGGUGGUGCGCGGUUGUCGUCAGCUCGUGUCGUGAGAAG
rnacentral:rRNA from 1 species